CAACACAACAACACAACAACACAAUGUGUUCAUCACUUAGAGCUGGAUUUAUGAUCGGUUUAAGGACAGCUCAUUUCUAAGAACCACCAACAGAAAUUUUCCACCUCGGCUAACUUAAGAUUAAGAUGAAGCUCGCAGUACUCCUUCUCCUGGUGUGUCUGUCACUUCUCGUGCUUGUAUCAGACAGCUGUGUGUGUAAACACUACGAUGAAUCGUGCAGCAGUACUGACGAUUGUUGCAUGAUGUACUACUGCUCCAUCUCGGGAAAAUCUGGCAGCUGCAAAUGGAAGUAAGAAGCCAACCCUUAUGUUGUCUUGGAUCUCAGCAGACGAUUUUGAACUGAUGCUUUUAGGAAAAUAAAUAUCAAUUUUUCCAUCU